rnacentral:tRNA from 1 species
AGUAUAGCGCCGGAAUGAACGGAUUAUAUUGAUGUUAUAAACUAUAAGACUUAUCUUCUAUACUU